CAUUAUACCACGGGUGGGGCGGGCAGAAGAAAAUCCCAUGAGUUGGAGAUGUGUACUGUAAGCUCAGAGUAGAGUGGCAAAAGGAGAAGACUGAUGAGCUGACCAAAGAGAGAGACUAUCAAAAAGUGCAACUGGCAUCAGUUCUUAACAGAGGGGGCACAAGUUCCAUCCAGGUGACGCCCUUGUCUUCAAUUCCCUCCAGUGACAACUCAGACGAAUCUUCCUCUGAUACUAUGUCUGAAUCCUUCUCCUCAUCAGAAGGGAACAGAAAGAAGAUUAGAUUAGAUUAGAUUAGAUUAGAUUAGAUUAAACUUUAUUGUCAUUACACAUGUACACAUGAUAAAAGAAGAGGAUGAAAAGGAAGGGAAAAGGAAAAAAGCAUGGGAAAACGUCAAAGAAUAUUGAAGCAAAGUCACGUCACAGAGAUCAACAUCCACAGCAAGUGGUGGUCCGAUACAAAACAAUUCUUUGCCACUCCAGUAGUACAGCGUACGCCAAAAAUAUUCUUGAUUUAUAAAACCGUGCGUACACACACCUCUAAGCAAUGUUUCCUUUAUAAAUCACAGAUCACUCGCAGAUGUGCAUACGUGAACCAGCCUCAUAUCCCGCCCUGUACAUUCCCAUUUUUAUCCAUAAAUAGUCAAUGCAAAUCACUGCGCGGGCACGAGAGUGGACCUCGUUAUAAUGAGUUUCCUCUGUGCUCUGCAGGUUUAAAAAGGGGGUGAGGAGGCAGCGUCUCAGGGGGUAGCCACUGUCGCCUGCAGGUUAUAAUUAUAUUAAAAGCAACAUUGUUAUAAUAAUAUUAAAAACAAAAUUGUUACAGUUUCUACUUUUUAAUAUCGUUAAACUCA